AUAUAUCAAAAGAAUUUGAGAGUACUGGGUUUUCUUAUGGUUGAUAUUGUGCUGGAAUUCAUCUUUGCUUUCAUGUCAUGCAUUUUUAAAUUUACCUAAUUUCAUGACCUAGAUAUCUUAGUAACCUGAUGUCAUAAUGCUGGGGAAUGCUAUAUGUUAUCUCAAUCCGGAAGAUUGUCACUUUGAAUCAUUUUUAUUUUCUUCCCUUUGGUUUUUAAAGAUGGGGUUGUUUCCAGCAUGAUAAUUCUGUUUUUAAGACUUAAGAGUAGUGUUUUAUCAUGCAAAUAUGAUUCUGAUCUUUGAUUAUGGAGUUAAUUCUUUCUGCUGAUAACUCUGUUCUCAAAGAUAGGGUUAUCACCGUUAUUUUGUUUUUAGCAUUUGGGUUCACUUUUGAACCAUGGGUGGUUCUAAUCUUUACAAUGUCAAAGUAAUUGGUAAUUACCAAUACAAUCAGUGGUAGACUUUAUAUGGUUAGUUUAUUGAUUUUGAUCAAUUAUCUUUAGUAUAGACUUUACACUUGAGGGAUAUGGAAAACAAAAUGGCAACACUUUGUGUUAAAGAUUGCCUGAACUUUUUUAAAUGAAGAAAUCAGUUUACUAUUCCAUCUACUUAAGAUUUAAAUGAGGAUCAAUUAAAUAUAAGCAUUUUGUUUUACAGGUUCAAGA
rnacentral:misc_RNA from 1 species